AUUGAACGCUGGCGGCAGGCUUAACACAUGCAAGUCGAGCGGAGAGAGGUAGCUUGCUACUGAUCUUAGCGGCGGACGGGUGAGUAAUGCUCAGAACUGCCUAUUAGUGGGGGACAACAUUUCGAAAGGAAUGCUAAUACCGCAUACGUCCUACGGGAGAAAGCAGGGGAUCUUCGGACCUUGCGCUAAUAGAUGAGCCU
rnacentral:rRNA from 1 species